rnacentral:misc_RNA from 1 species
CCCUUGUGCAGGACAAACUGUUGAAAAAGCCUAUCCAACCAUGGUGCGCUUUCGACCCCUUUGGCGAACUUGGGCUAGCUUGUUCAUUGUGGAUGACCAUUGCUUUGAGGAUUUCCUAUAUGCAGCAAGCACACGAUCCAUCACAUUCCCACAUGAAGAAUGCAUUGAAAGCAAGGCUCGUUCCAGUACAUACAAAUCAACUGCCUUGUCUUCAGGAAGGCUUGAUGUGAAGCUCAGACCAAAAUCAAUAAGGACCACUUGAUUAGUGCCAUUCCGGAUUAACAUGUUUGAUGUGGUCAAGUCACCAUGAAUGAGGCCACCAUCAUGUAGUUUUCCAAUUGCAUCACCAAUCUGUGUUGCAAUAUCAUCCAUGCGUUCUUCCACAACACCAUGUAACCCAAAUUCAAGAAAGACAUCUUUCACAGAAUGACCCUCCACAUACUCAAAUGUGAGGGUAUGCAGUAAAGGAUCCACAGCGUACAGCACUGGAGUAGAAACCCCAAGUCGCCUUGCCUUUGUCAUGC